ensembl:snRNA LOC120095810 U6 spliceosomal RNA
GUGCUCGCUUUGGCAGCACAUAUACUAAAAUUGGAACGAUACAGAGAAGAUUAGCAUGGCCCCUGUGCAAGGAUGACUCGCAAAUUUGUGAAGCUUCCAUAUUUUU